GGUCAGCAAAAAAGUUCCUCUGCCGAAAACACAGACGAAACCGCCGAAGACUCUUCCCCCUGGUGUUUUUAGUCCUUUAAAUGACCAAAACCUGACAAUACCGCAACACUGGUUUCCAAACAAGACCCCUGAAGAAAUCAGAGAAAUAUUGCUGAAAAGCAAAACUUCGUAGUCAUCGAACACGAAAGACCAAAAGAUUCAACACGUGACUAAGGAUCAGUGAAACAGAAGAUUCAACAUCUGCACUGUCCACAAAUCAGUAUUACUCUAAACUGCUCUCAACUGAAAUGAAUUAAAAGUUAAGAUAUAAGCCAAUGACAGCUGUUAUUUUUAUAGAUGUUUUUUUGAUUGGACGUAAAGAUUAAUGACCAGUAGUCAGUGUCUGAUGGAUCAAUUAGUUUGUUAACUUUGGGACCAGUCAUAAGCUGUGCGUAUUCUGAAUGUCUCAACCAACAAUACAGUUUUUGAAAACCA